rnacentral:rRNA from 1 species
UACGUAGGGCGCAAGCGUUAUCCGGAAUUAUUGGGCGUAAAGAGCUCGUAGGCGGUUUGUCGCGUCUGCUGUGAAAGUCCAGGGCUCAACCCUGGGAUGCCGGUGGAUACUGUCGGGCUCGAGUCCGGAAGAGGAGUGUGGAAUUCCUGGUGUAGCGGUGAAAUGCGCAGAUAUCAGGAGGAACACCAAUGGCGAAGGCAGCACUCUGGGACGUGACUGACGCUGAGACGCGAAAGCGUGGGGAGCAAACAGG